CUCUUCCCAUCAGAUCCCCCAAAGACACACGUGACCCACCACCCCGUCUCUGACCAUGAGGCCACCCUGAGGUGCUGGGCCCUGGGCUUCUACCCUGCGGAGAUCACACUGACCUGGCAGCGGGAUGGGGAGGACCAAACUCAGGACACCGAGCUUGUGGAGACCAGGCCAGCAGGAGAUGGAACCUUCCAGAAGUGGGGAGCUGUGGUGGUGCCUUCUGGAGAAGAACAGAGAUACAUGUGCCAUGUGCAGCACCAGGGGCUGCCAGAGCCCCUCACCCUGAGAUGGGAGCCAUCUUCCCAGUCCACCAUCCCCAUCGUGGGCAUCGUUGCUGGCCUGGCUGUCCUGGCAGUUGUGGUCACCGGAGCUGUGGUCGCUGCUGUGAUGUGGAGGAGGAAGAGCUCAGGUAGGGAAGGGGUGAGGGGUGGGGUCUGGGUUUUCUUGUCCCUCUGGGGGUUUCAAGCCCCAGGUAGAAGUGUUCCCUGCCUCAUUCCUGGGAAGCAGCAUCCACACAGGGGCUAACCCAGCCUGGGGCCCUGUGUGCCAGCACUUACUCUGUUGUGUAGCACAUGUGAUAAUGAAGGACGGAUGUAUCACCUUGAUGAUUAUGGUAUUGGGUCCUGAUUCCAGCAUUCACGA